rnacentral:rRNA from 1 species
UGGGGAAUAUUGGACAAUGGGCGAAAGCCUGAUCCAGCCAUGCCGCGUGUGUGAAGAAGGUCUUCGGAUUGUAAAGCACUUUAAGUUGGGAGGAAGGGUUGUAGAUUAAUACUCUGCAAUUUUGACGUUACCGACAGAAUAAGCACCGGCUAACUCUGUGCCAGCAGCCGCGGUAAUACAGAGGGUGCAAGCGUUAAUCGGAAUUACUGGGCGUAAAGCGCGCGUAGGUGGUUAGGUAAGUUGGAUGUGAAAUCCCCGGGCGCAACCUGGGAACUGCAUUCAAAACUGACUGACUAGAGUAUGGUAGAGGGUGGUGGAAUUUCCUGUGUAGCGGUGAAAUGCGUAGAUAUAGGAAGGAACACCAGUGGCGAAGGCGACCACCUGGACUGAUACUGACACUGAGGUGCGAAAGCGUGGGGAGCAAACA